rnacentral:rRNA from 1 species
GAUGAACGCUGGCGGCGUGCCUAAUACAUGCAAGUCGAGCGAACAGACGAGGAGCUUGCUCCUCUGACGUUAGCGGCGGACGGGUGAGUAACACGUGGAUAACCUACCUAUAAGACUGGGAUAACUUCGGGAAACCGGAGCUAAUACCGGAUAAUAUAUUGAACCGCAUGGUUCAAUAGUGAAAGACGGUUUUGCUGUCACUUAUAGAUGGAUCCGCGCCGCAUUAGCUAGUUGGUAAGGUAACGGCUUACCAAGGCGACGAUGCGUAGCCGACCUGAGAGGGUGAUCGGCCACACUGGAACGGAGACCGGGUCCAGACUCCUACGGGAGGCAGCCGUAGGGAAUCUGCCGCAAUGGGCGAAAGCCUGACGGAGCAACGCCGAGUGAGUGAUGAAGGUCUUCGGAUCGUAAAACUCUGUUAUUAGGGAAGAACAAAUGUGUAAGUAACUAUGCACGUCUUGACGGUACCUAAUCAGAAAGCCACGGCUAACUACGUG